AUGAUUUGCUGGAGGAUUCAACCUCCGACUCUCGUCCCCCGUUCCCGUUCCUCGUUCCCACCAAUGGGCCUGCACUCUGGUGCCGCUUCUUGUCUCACACACCUGAACAGAAGGGGCCUGCACUCUGGCGCCGCUUCUCGUCUCACACACCUGAACAGAAGAGGCCUGCACUCUGGCGCCGCUUCUCGUCUCACAGACCUCAACAGCAGUGAUCUAGAAAGAGUUAUAUACAACUUCGAAAGCCAGCCUUCGAUGCAUUCCAAACCUUCAGCUCUCUCAGAGUAUGUAAAGGCCCUCGUCAGCCUCGAGAUGAGAACUCAAGGGGUGGAGGGCAGCCAGCUCCUGUCGAAGGAUGGUGCUCUGGGCACAGCUACUGCACCGCUCCACAUGGUUACAAUGGAGAAGGGCAAGAUAUGGAAACUGCUAUGGCCCACCUUCGGGACCAUCGCUGCUGCCGGCCUAGCUACUGGCCUUGCGACCUAUGGCGGCAAGGCUCUUGGUGACAAGGUGUCUGAGAAGAAAACAAAAGUUGGUAAUUUUGGCAGUUUGAAAGAGGUAACCUCGACCACCACGAAAUUCCGUGAUGUAAAGGGGGCUGACGAAGCCAAAGCUGACCUCGAGGACAUUGCUCACUACCUACGAGAUCCCAAGCGUUUCACGAGCCUUGGUGCCAAGCUUCCAAAGGGCGUUCUGCUUUCUGGUCCACCAGGCACAGGGAAGACCAUGUUGGCGAGGGCGUUGGCCGGGGAAACUGGCGUCCCGUUCUUCGCGUGCAGCGGCAGCGACUUCGAGGACAAGUAUAUCGGUGUUGCCUCUAAAAGAGUGAGGGAGCUCUUUAGUGAAGCAAAGAAGCGCUCCCCUUGCAUAAUAUUCAUCGAUGAAAUCGAUGCCAUUGCUGGUCCUAGAAAUACAGAAGAUCCAAUGUGGAUGAGGCAUACCCUGAACCAGCUGCUUUCUGAGAUGGAUGGCUUCAAGCAGAAUGACGGGGUCAUCGUGAUCGCCGCGACCAACUUCAAGGAGUCGCUAGAUAAAGCCCUCGUCAGGCCUGGGCGUUUUGACCGUCAUGUCCACGUUCCUCUUCCAGAUGUCGAGGGCCGACGCCAGAUCCUCGAGUCUUAUAUCUCAAAGGUGAAAGCCAAGGGUGUGGAUGUGUUGACAAUCGCUACAGGGACACCUGGGCUCUCGGGUGCAGACCUUGCAAACAUGGUGAAUGAGGCCGCCCUCACCGCUGCCAAGGACGGGGCGAAAGCUGUUACGAUGCAUCACCUAGAGUAUGCCAAGGACAGGAUCAUGAUGGGCAGCGAGCGCAAGUCGGCGGUGAUACCUGAUCAUGCCAGGAAGAUGACUGCCUACCAUGAGGGAGGGCACGCUCUUGUUGCUAUCUUCACUGAAGGCGCUGACGCUGUCGAGAAGGCUACCAUUGUUCCCAGGGGGGAUGCUCUUGGCAUGGUGAUGCAGCUGCCGGGGGAAGACGCCGAGUUUGAACUCUCGAGGAAGAAGAUGCUGGCGACUCUAGAUGUCCUGAUGGGCGGGCGGGUGGCCGAGGAGCUUAUAGCCGGAGAAGGCGGGGUCACCACUGGCCCCUCAUCUGAUCUAAGCGGGGCGACUCAGCUGGCGACUGACAUGGUCACCAAGUAUGGCAUGGGCAAGCGGGUGGGCUUUGUUACCUACAGCAAUGGCGGUGAUGCUAGCGGUGGCAAGGCGACGAACAUGAGCGGGCGGAUGUCAGAACUGGUUGACGAGGAGGUGAAAGAAUUACUGGACAAUGCUUACAAGAACGCCAAAGCGGUUCUCACGGAUCGUAGGAAGGAGCUUGAUGCGCUAGCCAACGCCCUCCUGAAGGAUGAGACUCUCACUGGUGACCAGAUCAAGAAACUAGUAACAGGAGGUGGAAGUAAAUGGUUUUGA
rnacentral:rRNA from 1 species